GGGAAAAAUUCUUUAUGCAUCGCACGCAGGGUGAGUGAAAAAUAAUUUUCUUUUCACACGUUAUUUGAUUUCACGUAUGAGCCAAUCACUACACACGGUGCGCCCAUUCCGUACUGCAUAUGGUGCAUAAAGAAUUUUUCAUAGCUAGAGACAAGAAAUACUUCAUAUCAGGUGGAGAGAUGGCUAGUGAAGUCCAAAGAGGUUUGAGCAAGGGUGAUGGGGCUAAAGGUCGCAUUAAGUGAAAGAAGAAGCAGGG
rnacentral:lncRNA from 1 species